GAUGAACGCUGGCGGCGUGCUUAACACAUGCAAGUCGAACGGGAAACAUUUUAUUGAAGCUUCGGCAGAUUUAGCCUGUUUCCAGUGGCGGACGGGUGAGUAACGCGUGGGUAACCUGCCUCACACUGGGGGAUAACAGUCAGAAAAGAACGCUAAUACCGCAUAACAUACGGAUGUCGCAUGGCAACCGUAUCAAAGAUUUUAUCGCUUGAAGAUGGACUCGCGUCCGAUUAGCCAGUUGGCGGGGUAACGGCCCACCAAAGCGACGAUCGGUAGCCGGACUGAGAGGUUGAACGGCCACAUUGGGACUGAGACACGGCCCAG
rnacentral:rRNA from 1 species